rnacentral:rRNA from 1 species
UACAGAGGUCUCAAGCGUUGUUCGGAUUCAUUGGGCGUAAAGGGUGCGUAGGCGGCGCGGUAAGUCGGGUGUGAAAUCUCGGAGCUUAACUCCGAAACUGCAUUCGAUACUGCCGUGCUUGAGGACUGGAGAGGAGACUGGAAUUUACGGUGUAGCGGUGAAAUGCGUAGAUAUCAGGAGGAACACCGAUGGCGAAGGCAGAUCUCUGGGCCAUUACUGACGCUGAGGAGCGAAAGCGUGGGGAGCGAACAGG